rnacentral:rRNA from 1 species
UACGUAGGGUGCAGGCGUUAAUCGGAAUUACUGGGCGUAAAGCGUGCGCAGGCGUUCUUUUAAGUCAGAUGUGACAUCCCCGGGCUUAACCUGGGAACUGCGUUUGAAACUGGAAGGCUUGAGUGUGGCAGAGGGGGGUGGAAUUCCACGUGUAGCAGUGAAAUGCGUAGAGAUGUGGAGGAACAACGAUGGCGAAGGCAGCCCCCUGGGCUAACACUGACGCUCAUGUACGAAAGCGUGGGUAGCAAACAGG